UGUUUAGAAAAAUCAAUAUGAAGAAACGGAGUGUAUAUGAAGAAAAAUCAAUAUGAAAAACAAGUGUACCUGUUGCUCCAAGCUGCCGGCGUUGACGAGGGUCCACGUUCCAUUUGAUUUCUUGGGGAUUAUUCAGUAAAAUGCAAUCUACACGGAAGCCAAUCCAAUCCAGGUGAAACGGAAGUUGGUACAUUAUUCUGGCGACGGGCCUUCUGCUUGUGUGGCUCUGCAUAGCUCAAGGCAUCAGGUCUGCUUUGGAGACAAACUCUCGCUCAGUUUAGUUUCCAUGUAUUGUUAAAUUCCAAUGAACUAUCUUCAUUACAAAUGUAUUACAAGGUAGACAAUGAUGGCUGAUGUAAGAGUCCUAAUGAAAACAUCUGAUACACAAAAUUCGUAUUGAACCAUAGAAUAUGCAUCUUCAAGAUAUAUGUUACACAAAAUUGGUAUUGGACCAUAAAUAUUUAUGCCCGUUGCAACACACGGACUCAUUUACUUUAUAUGAUAGUUCAACUUUCUUUGAUUCUACAUACGAUGAUUUUUCAUUGAAACCAUGUAAGUAUUUUAUUUGCUAGCCGUUGGUUUCAUGUA